AACGAACGCUGGCGGCAUGCCUAACACAUGCGAGUCGAACGAGACCUUCGGGUCUAGUGGCGCACGGGUGCGUAACGCGUGGGAACCUGCCUUUAGGUUCGGAAUAACUCAGAGAAAUUUGAGCUAAUACCGGAUGAUGUCUUCGGACCAAAGAUUUAUCGCCUUUAGAUGGGCCCGCGUUGGAUUAGCUAGUUGGUGGGGUAAAGGCCUACCAAGGCGACGAUCCAUAGCUGGUCUGAGAGGAUGAUCAGCCACACUGGGACUGAGACACGGCCCAGACUCCUACGGGAGGCAGCAGUGGGGAAUAUUGGACAAUGGGCGAAAGCCUGAUCCAGCAAUGCCGCGUGAGUGAUGAAGGCCUUAGGGUUGUAAAGCUCUUUUACCCGAGAUGAUAAUGACAGUAUCGGGAGAAUAAGCGCCGGCUAACUCCGUG
rnacentral:rRNA from 1 species